rnacentral:rRNA from 1 species
UUAAAUUGAAGAGUUUGAUCAUGGCUCAGAUUGAACGCUGGCGGCAGGCCUAACACAUGCAAGUCGAGCGGUAGCACAGGAGAGCUUGCUCUCCGGGUGACGAGCGGCGGACGGGUGAGUAAUGUCUGGGAAACUGCCUGAUGGAGGGGGAUAACUACUGGAAACGGUAGCUAAUACCGCAUAACGUCUACGGACCAAAGUGGGGGACCUUCGGGCCUCACGCCAUCAGAUGUGCCCAGAUGGGAUUAGCUAGUAGGUGGGGUAAUGGCUCACCUAGGCGACGAUCCCUAGCUGGUCUGAGAGGAUGACCAGCCACACUGGAACUGAGACACGGUCCAGACUCCUACGGGAGGCAGCAGUGGGGAAUAUUGCACAAUGGGCGCAAGCCUGAUGCAGCCAUGCCGCGUGUGUGAAGAAGGCCUUAGGGUUGUAAAGCACUUUCAGCGAGGAGGAAGGGUAGUGUGUUAAUAGCACAUUGCAUUGACGUUACUCGCAGAAGAAGCACCGGCUAACUCCGUGCCAGCAGCCGCGGUAAUACGGAGGGUGCAAGCGUUAAUCGGAAUUACUGGGCGUAAAGCGCACGCAGGCGGUUUGUUAAGUCAGAUGUGAAAUCCCCGCGCUUAACGUGGGAACUGCAUUUGAAACUGGCAAGCUAGAGUCUUGUAGAGGGGGGUAGAAUUCCAGGUGUAGCGGUGAAAUGCGUAGAGAUCUGGAGGAAUACCGGUGGCGAAGGCGGCCCCCUGGACAAAGACUGACGCUCAGGUGCGAAAGCGUGGGGAGCAAACAGGAUUAGAUACCCUGGUAGUCCACGCUGUAAACGAUGUCGAUUUGGAGGUUGUGCCCUUGAGGCGUGGCUUCCGGAGCUAACGCGUUAAAUCGACCGCCUGGGGAGUACGGCCGCAAGGUUAAAACUCAAAUGAAUUGACGGGGGCCCGCACAAGCGGUGGAGCAUGUGGUUUAAUUCGAUGCAACGCGAAGAACCUUACCUACUCUUGACAUCCAGAGAAUUCGCUAGAGAUAGCUUAGUGCCUUCGGGAACUCUGAGACAGGUGCUGCAUGGCUGUCGUCAGCUCGUGUUGUGAAAUGUUGGGUUAAGUCCCGCAACGAGCGCAACCCUUAUCCUUUGUUGCCAGCGAUUCGGUCGGGAACUCAAAGGAGACUGCCGGUGAUAAACCGGAGGAAGGUGGGGAUGACGUCAAGUCAUCAUGGCCCUUACGAGUAGGGCUACACACGUGCUACAAUGGCGUAUACAAAGAGAAGCGAACUCGCGAGAGCAAGCGGACCUCAUAAAGUACGUCGUAGUCCGGAUUGGAGUCUGCAACUCGACUCCAUGAAGUCGGAAUCGCUAGUAAUCGUAGAUCAGAAUGCUACGGUGAAUACGUUCCCGGGCCUUGUACACACCGCCCGUCACACCAUGGGAGUGGGUUGCAAAAGAAGUAGGUAGCUUAACCUUCGGGAGGGCGCUUACCACUUUGUGAUUCAUGACUGGGGUGAAGUCGUAACAAGGUAACCGUAGGGGAACCUGCGGUUGGAUCACCUCCUUA